UGGGGAAUAUUGUGCAAUGGGCGAAAGCCUGACACAGCGACGCCGCGUGAAGGAUGAAGGUCCUUGGAUUGUAAACUUCUGUUAUGUGGGAAGAAAGGGGUGUAGUUAAUACCUGCACCAGAUGACUGUACCACAAGAGAAAGCCCCGGCUAACUUCGUGCCAGCAGCCGCGGUAAUACGAGGGGGGCGAGCGUUGUUCGGAUUUACUGGGCGUAAAGGGUGUGUAGGCGGCAUACUAAGUCGAUCGUCUAAUCUUGCAGCUUAACUGCAAACCUGCGAUUGAUACUAGUUGUGCUAGAGUUUGAAAGAGAGAAGUGGAAUUCUCGGAGUAGCGGUUAAAUGCGUAGAUCUCGAGAGGAACACCGGUGGCGAAGGCGGCUUCUUGGUUCAAGUCUGACGCUGAUACACGAAAGCGUGGGGAGCAAACAGG
rnacentral:rRNA from 1 species